UCGGUUCGUGGGAUUAUGGCUGAGCUUGAUUUGUGAUGAGCUGGUAGCAGGGGAUAACGAGGACGGGUUGUGUUUGACGUGGAACAGGGGCUUCGAGCUUAUCCGUGGAUGCUGGAAUAAGCUGGUUCGGAUUUGGAAGUUGGGGAAAAUGGAACGGCUGGGAGAUACUUCAGAAGGAGAUUGGCUGCGGAUGUUUGGGAUUAAUCCAGGAGUUUGGAUGAAGCUUUGAGUUUCGAAUGGAAUGAAUGUGAGAACGCUCCGAAAGAAGGGGAAAUUUGGAUAUGAGAGCUUAUAUGACUCUGUUCCUAAAUGACGUGGAGGGAAGC
rnacentral:lncRNA from 1 species